rnacentral:lncRNA from 1 species
CACACACACACUUACUCACACAGUACAGUUAACCUCUUGAGCACUAACACACACACUAACUCACACAGUACAGUUAACCUCUUGAGCACUAACACUAACUCACACACUAACUCACACAGUACAGUUAACCUCUUGAGCACUAACUCACACAGUACAGUUAACCUCUUGAGCACUAACACACACACUAACUCACACAGUACAGUUAACCUCUUGAGCACUAACACUAACUCACACACUAACUCACACAGUACAGUUAACCUCUUGAGCACUAACACUAACACACACACUAACUCACACAGUACAGUUAACCUCUUGGGCACUAACUCACACACUAACUCACACACUAACGCACACAGUACAGGUAACCUCUUGAGCACUAACACACACAGUACAGUUAACCUCUUGAGCACUAACACACACACUAACUCACACACUAACGCACACAGUACAGUUAACCUCUUGAGCACUAACACUAACUCACACACUAACUCACACAGUACAGUUAACCUCUUGGGCACUAACUCACACACUAACUCACACACUAACGCACACAGUACAGGUAACCUCUUGAGCACUAACACACACAGUACAGUUAACCUCUUGAGCACUAACACACACACUAACUCACACACUAACGCACACAGUACAGUUAACCUCUUGUGCACUAACACUAACUCACACACUAACUCACACACUAACUCACACAGUACAGUUAACCUCUUGUGCACUAACACACACACUAACACACACACUAACACACACACUAACACUAACUCACACAGUACAGUUAACCUCUUGAGCACUAACACACACACUAACACACACAGUACAGUUCACCUCUUGAGCACUAACACGAACUCACACACUAACACACACACUAACACACACACUAACACUAACUCACACAGUACAGUUAACCUCUUGAGCACUAACACACACAGUACAGUUAACCUCUUGAGCACUAACACGAACUCACACACUAACUCACGCAAUAACUCACACAGUACAGUUAACCUCUUGGGCACUAACACACACACUAAAGGUGCCAGUAUGGUACUCAGACUCCGUUACGGAUGGGCGGGCGGACGGAUAGGACGGUUUUUUGACAAAGACACGUUGCUUUGCAACGUCUUUGUAAGUUAG